rnacentral:rRNA from 1 species
GUGGGGAAUAUUGCACAAUGGGCGAAAGCCUGAUGCAGCAACGCCGCGUGAACGAUGAAGGCCUUCGGGUCGUAAAGUUCUGUCCUCAAGGAAGAUAAUGACGGUACUUGAGGAGGAAGCCCCGGCUAACUACGUGCCAGCAGCCGCGGUAAUACGUAGGGGGCUAGCGUUAUCCGGAUUUACUGGGCGUAAAGGGUGCGUAGGCGGUUUUUUAAGUCAGAAGUGAAAGGCUACGGCUUAACCGUAGUAAGCUUUUGAAACUGGAGAACUUGAGUGCAGGAGAGGAGAGUGGAAUUCCUAGUGUAGCGGUGAAAUGCGUAGAUAUUAGGAGGAACACCAGUAGCGAAGGCGGCUCUCUGGACUGUAACUGACGCUGAGGCACGAAAGCGUGGGGAGCAAACAGGAUUAGAUACCCUAGUAGUCC